UCUUCUCUUCACCCCGCAACAUCAUCAUCCCAUCUUCUCCACAAGAACACACACUUAAACACACUCUGUACCUUUGGUCUUUUCUAUAUAAAUACGAGAAAUGGAAGGUGAAACACGACAAUGAGUCUGUUAAUUCUAGUUCAUUUUCAAUUCCAAUUCAUUUGGUAAACUUAUUAUUAUUAUUACUAUUAUUAUUAUUAUUAUUAUUAUUAUUAUUGAUGGGUGGAUCAAAGAAACUCCAGUAAGUUGCUACACCCACAACCUCCGACGAACAUUUCAGCUAAACCCACAACCUCCGGCGAACAGUUCUGUUACACCCACCAGUGUAACUUCUCUCUUUCUAUAACUUCUACAGAUCUGUAUAUUAUUUAAUUUUAGAUAUCUAGGUAUGAUUUAGUGUUGUUGUAAGUGGUGACAUAUGGUGGUGUUGGGCUACAGACAUGGAGGCAGCCCUUUUCGGCCAAUUUGUGAUGGGUUCAAGCGAUGGGCGUCGGGCCUGAUGUGUGCAGGCUAUGAUUGGAGACGGUGGAGGCGGUGGUUGGAGGCAGUGGAUGCGGUUGUUGUUGGAGGGUAGUGGAGGCGGUGGUUGAGGGGUGGAGGUAGGCGAUUGCAGAUCUGAACACGAUUUCAUAUAUGUGGUGAUGGUGGUUCGAAGACGGGGGUUUAGACGUGGGUGGCUCGAGUGGUGGUUUUGGUGUGGUGUGACGGUGCUGGAUAGAGUGAUGAUGCAGUGGUGAAUGGUGGUCAAAUGUUGUGGUCGAGAGAAGGUUUCCUGGUUGUAGAGGUGGUGGUGAACGGUGAUGCUUGGGGUUGAGGAGAUGAAGUAGGAGGGGAAGGUGGGUCCCAUUUGUUUAUAUUUAAAUAAUAGUGGUAGGCCGUAUUUCUCUUUCUAAAUGAUUUGUUAAUUAUUAAUGUUUUAUAUAUUUUAAGGAAAUAGUGUUUAGGUCAUUUCACACCAUCUUAACUGAGAAAACUAACUGAUGUUGGGCCCAGGGACUAUUCGGGAACGAAAAUUGAAACAUUGGGGACUAUAGCUGUAAUUUUAGAAAGUUAGGGACUAAAUGUGCAAAAUGGGCAAACCAUAUAGACUAUCCGGGCAUUUAACUCUUUUUCUAUUGUUAUACAUACAGUAAAACUUUGGUAUCAAUUUUUAAGAUUUGGAUGCAGUUGCAA